AUCUUGCGCAAUGGGCGAAAGCCUGACGCAGCAACGCCGCGUGCGGGAUGACGGCCUUCGGGUUGUAAACCGCUUUCAGCAGGGACGAAAUUGACGGUACCUGCAGAAGAAGCCCCGGCCAACUACGUGCCAGCAGCCGCGGUAACACGUAGGGGGCGAGCGUUGUCCGGAAUUAUUGGGCGUAAAGAGCUCGUAGGCGGCUUUGUCAGUCGGGUGUGAAACCUCCAGGCUCAACCUGGAGCCGCCAUCCGAUACUGCAAUAGCUAGAGUCCGGUAGGGGAGCAUGGAACUCCUGGUGUAGCGGUGAAAUGCGCAGAUAUCAGGAAGAACACCAGUGGCGAAGGCGGUGCUCUGGGCCGGAACUGACGCUGAGGAGCGAAAGCGUGGGGAGCAAACAGG
rnacentral:rRNA from 1 species